CCUCCCCCAGUGGAGGGGCAAGUCCUGCACUGGGGGGCACACAUCCACUGAGGGUGCAUGUGUGUUUUUGUUUUUGAAUGUUAUCUCUGUGCUGGGUGAAGCGGGUAAGGAGCCUGUUACUCGUUUCACCCACAUCACUGAUCCGACAAAUUUGGCAGGUUAUCAAAUAAACAAUUUUUUUUUUAUUUGGGGUUUCCUGACUGGUCUGAUUUUAAGAUUGUUGGUAAAUUUGUUUUGUACCCAGUGCAGCUGCUUGAAGAAUCCACCCUGACCUUUGACCUCUGCUUUCUUCAGAGGUCUUACCUCAGCACGGACGAGGAAAUCCCUCAGGUUUUUUUUUCUUUUGUAGGAAGCAAAGAAGUGUCAGAUUGGAUUUGUAAAAUUCUGUGUGAUGUUAUACACAAGGCGUCCUGCGGAGGAGGAGAAGCUUGUGAUCAUCGGUGAUUCAUCGGGGGUUUGGACUCAAGGAGGUUCUUCCUGCAUGCUCUCAGUAGGCCUCACAGUCGGAGGGAGGAUCUCAUGAGGUUUGCUCCACUUUUCCGGUUCCUCAUGAAUCUUUGGGAGCAAAUAAAACCUCCUGGUUCUGGGUUCAGAGGAGCCACGCAGGAGGAAGAGAGGUGAUUGGAGGAGACCAGUCUGACUCUGGAAUAAAAGGCAACAAUGAACCUCACACAUCAGUCCCCUCACGCCUUCAUCCCCCACCCAGAUGAAGACAACCACGGCACGUGCACGAGACAGGACAAAUUAACUGUCACAAAGCUUUACUGCAUUUUAAAUGAAUAUCAUUAAAAGAAAGCAAAAUAAAACUUUUUAAACACGGAGAAGUUAAAAUAUAACGGCCCAACAUGGAGACGUUAAGAUGUAACGGCCCUCAGAGCGACCUGGCAUGUUGCCGAAGUUACCCUCGCCUGGUAAAACUAACAAAACGGUGCAUAAAAACAGUGACUCAACGAUAUAUUCUGGUCAACUAAUACGUAAACAUCUUUACAAGGUACUUUUGGUGUUUUUCUUUACCGUAUACUGACCUGGAGAACAAAUAAACACGAGUCACCAAUGACGAUCGUAGCGCUAUCGUUAGCAUCCAGAUUGCCUUUAGAGCAAACCGGAAGUUCAU